rnacentral:rRNA from 1 species
UACGUAGGGGGCUAGCGUUGUCCGGAAUCAUUGGGCGUAAAGAGCGUGUAGGCGGUCCGGUAAGUCCGCUGUGAAAGUCGGGGGCUCAACCCUCGAAUGCCGGUGGAUACUGUCGGGCUAGAGUGCGGAAGAGGCGAGUGGAAUUCCUGGUGUAGCGGUGAAAUGCGCAGAUAUCAGGAGGAACACCUAUUGCGAAGGCAGCUCGCUGGGACGUUACUGACACUGGAGGCGCGAAAGCGUGGGGAGCGAACAGG